rnacentral:hammerhead_ribozyme from 1 species
AUCUAGCUGACGAGUCCAAAAUGGGACGAAACGUGCAUCCUGGAU